GUGUGGGUGACGAAGUGAAGGAGCUCGAGAUCCAGCUCAAAGAGAUGAAGUGCCUUCUCAAAGAUGCCGACAGUCGACGAGAUGAAGACACGCAGCUUAUCAAGUGUGUUAAAGGAGAAGACGAGGCCUCACACAGCUCAUCCGCAGAUGUUCUUGUAAAUUGUGGAGGCCCUUCUCCACUAAUCAAAUACACAAUUAUGUUAUUUAAAACCCCUUCCAAUUAAUGACGAUGAUGACUUUUUUUCCUUGCAGAAUAUUUUUAUUCGUGCAACUGAUACGACGACUAUCUCAAUCGUUUAGACGAUGAAGGCACUAACAAAAGCACCCAGUGUGAUGAAAAAAGUACAAGCAGAAAUCAGAAAAAUUUGAUAGGUGAAAAGGUAAUUAGAUGAAGGUGAUAUGCCCAAACUUCCCUAUUUGAAAGUAGUGAUUAAGGAGACAUUGAGGUUGUACCCUUCAGCUCCACAGCUUGUACCAAGACAAAUAAUAGAUCCGAAGUAUUAGAAAAAUCCAGACGAGUUCAUGCCUGAGAGGUUCUUGAAUAGAAAUAUUCAUGAUAUCACGAGGCAUGACUUUGUGUUCAUUAUUUGUUUAGUUUGAAGCCUUUGUGUUCAUCAAAAUUAUCAAAUAAAUUGAUAUUACGGUACUUCUUUCAAGGUAUUUUAAUAUCGUUUUACAUUAAUGAUGAAUUCAGGACUUACAACAUUUCUUGGCCAAGAUUCAAUCCUCAUAUUACGACAUCUCACUAUUAUCUUCUUUAAGGAACCGAACACCAUCUAAGUCUGCUCAUAAAUAAUUCUUAUUAUCAGCAAAUAUUCAAUCAAAAUGACAGACAGAAAAGCAUCUUUUGUUUUCCUUCAAAAAAAACUAUUCUGCUCCAUACUUCAAUAUGUUGACUGCUUCAAACAAACUGCAAGUUGGGAUUUUACUACAGCAAUAAAAUUAUUAUAAUAAUUAAUAUAAAGACAAGUUGGCUUUCUGAAACGCGUAUACAAUUAUUAUGAUGUUUAGUUCAUAUCGUAGGCUAAAUUAUCUGUAUUAAUAACAUUAAUCAACUCUUAUUGGCUUAAAGCGCCUUAAUUACUCACAACAAUUCAUUUUGCCAGCUAAUGAUGAAUUACGUUAUCAUUUUUUAUACCAUAUUAUUGAGUUUUGGUCGUCAAGAGUGGUUGAGAAAUGGUCUGAAGAGUUGCUGUCGUGACAUCAAAUAAGUAUUUUUAAUGCCUAUUCUUUAUUGAAUGAAGAAGAAAACAAGGUAGAAUCCAAAAAACAAGUAGGAGUUAAUUAAGAUAAUGUGCUUUCUCUAUAAGCUAAACUACUUUCACUACUUUCCCCACCAACGAAAGUUAAACCUCUCCCUUUUUCCUCACACAACUCUCCAAGAACUAAUUUCUCUGUUCCAAAAUCAAAAUUCUUUGCAAUCUCCAUUGAAGAAUUUGUAUUCACAACAACGAGUUCCAUAUCCUUAUUCCUCUCUCUAUAUACUCUCACCAAUACUAAAUCAGUUUGACCAAAGAAAUUCGAGUUUGGAAUUGUUGCGAUGGCAGAAGCUGUUGUGUCGACUGCUCUGGAAACCUUGCGCGAUUUGUUGGUGGACGAAGCAAGGUUUCUAUAUGGUGUGGGUGACGAAGUGAGGGAGCUGGUGAAGCAGCUCAAAGAGAUGAAGUGUCUCCUCAAAGAUGCCGACAGAAGACGACAUGAAAGCGAAACCUUAUUCAACUUGAUCUCGGAGAUCAGAGAUCUUGUGUACGAAGCGGAAGCUGCCAUUGAAAGACACGCAGCUUAUCAAGUGUUGGCAAGGAGAAGACGAGGCCGAGGCCUGAGACAGCUCAUCUGCAGAUAUUCUUGUAUUUUGGAAGAAUUCAACUCGCUCCACCAACUAGGCUCCCAGAUUUCAAAAAUCAAAUCCGAUUUUGGAAGAGUCACCGAAGCCAUGCGAGCCUACGGAAUAAAUAAGAUCAUCGAUAGCGGGGAAAGCUCGGCUGCCGCCGACAACAACAGGUCAAGGAAGAC
rnacentral:lncRNA from 1 species